AACGAACGUUGGCGGCGUGGAUUAGGCAUGCAAGUCGAGCGAAUCCCCGCAAGGGGGGAAGCGGCGAAAGGGGCAGUAAGGCAUGGGUAACCUACCCUGGGGACUGGGAUAGCCCUUCGAGAGAAGGGGUAAUACCGGGCGACGUGUCGGGCCGGCAUCGGCCUGCCACCAAAUGAAUUUCGCCCUGGGAGGGGCCCAUGUGAUAUUAGCUAGUUGGUGAGGUAACGGCUCACCAAGGCGAAGAUGUCUAGCGGGUGUGAGAGCACGACCCGCGCCACUGGCACUGAGACACUGGCCAGACACCUACGGGUGGCUGCAGUCGAGGAUCUUCGGCAAUGGGCGCAAGCCUGACCGAGCGACGCCGCGUGUGCGAUGAAGGCCUUCGGGUUGUAAAGCACUGUCGAGAGGGAGAAAAGCGAAAGCUUGAUCUAUCUCUGGAGGAAGCACGGGCUAAGUUCGUGCCAGCAGCCGCCGUAAAAC
rnacentral:rRNA from 1 species